rnacentral:misc_RNA from 1 species
GUAGGUGAACCUGCGGAAGGAUCAUUAACAAAUCUCUUUCAACAAACCAAUGUGUCACUUACUGUGUGUGUCUGUGUCUGUGUGUGUCUGCGUAGUGUUGUGUGUGCGUGUGUCUGUGUAUCUGUGUGGUGGUGGUGGUUGUUGUUCCUGGAGUGGGGAGUCCAGGACCAUCCAACGCCCACCCACCCACACUGAUACACAGACCACAUUAUACACUCCACUACUAGCUAGCGCGCACACCCACACCCGCACAAUAACAACAACGAUAGUCAGAGCAACAUCAUGUGUAUAUUAUAUAUAACAAACAACAACUUUUAACAAUGGAUCUCUUGGCUCUU